rnacentral:rRNA from 1 species
GCGGGAAAAGCUCAAAUUUAAAAUCUGGUAGUCUUUGGCUGCCCGAGUUGUAAUCUAGAGAAGCGUUAUCCGCGCUGGGCCGUGUGUAAGUCUCCUGGAAUGGAGCGUCAUAGAGGGUGAGAAUCCCGUCUUUAACACGGACUACCAGGGCUUUGUGAUGCGCUCUCAAAGAGUCGAGUUGUUUGGGAAUGCAGCUCUAAAUGGGUGGUAAAUUCCAUCUAAAGCUAAAUAUUGGCGAGAGACCGAUAGCGAACAAGUACCGUGAGGGAAAGAUGAAAAGAACUUUGGAAAGAGAGUUAAACAGUACGUGAAAUUGUUGAAAGGGAAACGCUUGAAGUCAGUCGCGUUGGUUGGAGAUCAACCUUGCUUUUGCUUGGUGUAUUUUCUAAUUAACGGGUCAGCAUCAAUUUUGACCAGUGGAAAAAGAUUAGGGGAAUGUGGCAUCUUCGGAUGUGUUAUAGCCCUUGGUCAUAUACAUUGGUUGGGAUUGAGGAACUCAGCACGCCGCAAGGCCGGGUUUUACCACGUUCGUGCUUAGGAUGCUGGCAUAAUGGCUUUAAUCGACCCGUCUUGAAACACGGACCAAGGAGUCUAACAUGCCUGCGAGUGUUUGGGUGGAAAACCCAUGCGCGUAAUGAAAGUGAAAGUUGGGAUCCCUGUCGUGGGGAGCACCGACGCCCGGACCAGACCUUCUGUGACGGAUCCGCGGUAGAGCAUGUAUGUUGGGACCCGAAAGAUGGUGAACUAUGCCUGAAUAGGGUGAAGCCAGAGGAAACUCUGGUGGAGGCUCGUAGCGAUUCUGACGUGCAAAUCGAUCG